rnacentral:tRNA from 1 species
GAUUGUUUAGUUUAUAUAAAACAAAUGUUUUGAAAGCAUUAAAAAAGAAAAGCUCUUAACAAUCG